rfam:Acetothermia bacterium 64_32 S_OP1_64_33_6, whole genome shotgun sequence.
GGGCGGAUAGCUCAGUUGGUAGAGCGCUCCCUUCACGGGGGAGAAGUCGGGGGUUCGAGUCCUCCUCCGCCCA